rnacentral:misc_RNA from 1 species
GAUGAAGAACGCAGCGAAAUGCGAUAAGUAAUGUGAAUUGCAGAAUUCAGUGAAUCAUCGAAUCUUUGAACGCACAUUGCGCCCCUUGGUAUUCCGAGGGGCAUGCCUGUUCGAGCGUCAUUAUAACCCCUCAAGCUCCGCUUGGUGUUGGGCGUCUGUCCCGCUUCGCGCGCGGACUCGCCCCAAAGGUAUUGGCAGCGGUCGUGCCAGCUUCUCGCGCAGCACAUUGCGCUUCUCGAGGCACCGGUGGGCCCGCGUCCAUCAAGCUCACCCCCCCAGUUUGACCUCGGAUCAGGGAGGGAUACCCGCUGAACUUAAGCAUAUCAAUAAGCGGAGGA